AGAAUUGACUGCUGGUAUCUCCUGCCACAUUUCUGAUCCCCUGUUAAAAAUUUUUAUGGGCAGCUAGACUGUUAAGCUCCUUGACAACAGGGUAUUGACGGCACAUGCCUUCGUUUCUCAGAAUACGGCCUUGCACAGGCAAGUCAAAACUCAAGUAAUAGAUUUCCCACAAGUAUGUGCAAAAGAUAAACAUUUGAGAGAGAGUUAUUUAUCUCAAAGGGAGUUACUCUGAUGGUCCUCUCUGAGGAACCUGUGAUCUGCCAUCUGCAAGCUGGAGACCCAGGAAAACCAGUGCUGUGAUUCCAGUCUAAGUCCAAGUCCAAAGGCCAGAGCCAACGAUGUGAAUCCCAGUCCAAGGGCAGCAGAGGACUGAUGUCCCAGCUCAAACAGGAAGGCUGGAAGCAAAAUUUGGCAAAUUCACUCUUCGCUGCUUUUUUUGUUCCAUUCAGCCCCUCAACGGAUU
rnacentral:lncRNA from 1 species